rnacentral:rRNA from 1 species
UACGUAGGGGGCAAGCGUUGUCCGGAAUUAUUGGGCGUAAAGAGCGCGUAGGCGGUCCGAUAAGUCGGCUGUGAAAGUCAGGGGCUCAACCCUUGAAAGCCGGCCGAUACUGUCGGACUAGAGUCCGGAAGAGGCAAGUGGAAUUCCCGGUGUAGCGGUGAAAUGCGCAGAUAUCGGGAGGAACACCAGUGGCGAAGGCGGUUCUCUGGGACGGUACUGACGCUGAGACGCGAAAGCGUGGGGAGCGAACAGG